GAGCGCUCCUGUUGCCAUUGUAUAAAGUUGUGUUAGGAGUUGAGACGUGCAGUGCAGUCAGGGGGGAUGUAUGAAUUAUGGAUGGGGGAUCCGUGCUCAGAGGAAAGCCUGCUUCUGUCUAUGUGCUGAUGGUGAUACUAACGGGAGAGUGGAGGAGGAAAGGGGACAACCUCAGGGAACCUGCCCAUUCUUGCUGACAUGAGUUGGGACAAGAUUUAGUGGUGGAGAAGUGAGGCAUUUUGUCGUGCCGUUAUAUUCCCAGGGCAUGGCACCUCAACACCACCAUGCAGUGUCUGAGCAGGAACAUAGUCUUCCUAUCCUAUUCACAGAGCGCAGCCAUCACCUCUAUAGCACAGCCUGUUCUCUCCACACUACACCUCAGCUUGUCCCCAUUCCACAGCUAUUACUGAACUGAGCCCUACUCAAGAUGAGACAAAGCAGUAAGAACUAGGCAAUAACACGAGGAAACUAUUAAAAAAAAGUCCCUCAGCACAUUUGAAUGAACAGAGUAGCUGUGGACUGGAUGAUACUGCAACAGAGGAGCUGGGUACUGCAACAGAGGAGCUGGGUACUGCAACAGAGGAGCUGUGGACUGCAACAGAGGAGCUGUGGACUGCAACAGAGGAGCUGUGGACUGCAACAGAGGAGCUGUGGACUGGAUGAUACUACAACAGAGGAGCUGUGGACUGCAACAGAGGAGCUGUGGACUGCAACAGAGGAGCUGUGGACUGCAACAGAGGAGCUGUGGACUGCAACAGAGGAGCUGUGGACUGGAUGAUAAUGCAACAGAGGAGCUGUGGACUACAACAGAGGAGCUGUGGACUGCAACAGAGGAGCUGUGGACUGGAUGUGAAUGGAUACAUCUCUGUGAUGGGUUGCUAGGCUAUGAAGGGGUUUUAGGUGCACCAGGGGAAAUCACCUUCACCCAGAAAUGUAUAUGUUUAUAUCACUUACCUUUAUGAACAGGUCCAGAGUUGGUGAGGGUGAAGAGGCAGCGCCAGAGAAAAAAGAGAAAGAGAGAGAUGCUUAGAGAAAUGUAAAGAAUCAUCAUAGAACAAACUGGAAACUAUAUACAGUACAUACAUGGGAGAACAAAUCUGUGUGUUUGUGUGUCCAUAGGUAGGUGAGCAAACUGCCCAGUGCCCAUUCUCCACAGUCACACUCAUCUCUCCUUCACACACACACACUUCUCACCCAUCCACCCGACCAUGACAGACAAAGCUCCUGAAGAAAAGAGGGAGGUGUGUUGUUCAGGCCCUCUCCCCACAAAAGCCUGCUUGUCUCCUUACACUUAAGAGCCAUUAAAAGCACAUUGACCCUGUGUCCUGACGUACGUGCGCUUGGCGUGCUGCCUCAAUGGCCACACACUCGGGGCGUGCGCAAGUGUUUGCCGAGCCCUUCAGUGCCUCUCUUGCGGCCACUGCCCUCUUGCACAAAACUCAAAGCCAUUAAAUAAUGAAUCCAGCAUGUUAAAAGAUUCUGACAGCCUACACAAGUUAGUCCAGUCAUGGCUUAUAAAAUAAGGGCAUGGAAGGGGAUUUCUACAUGAUAAAUUGACUGAUUGAUUGGUCUUGGGUCUUUCCCAUUUCUAAAAGAACUGUACAUUGGUAUUUCCUGGAGGCAUAGCUACAAGUGUCGGAUGGAAAAGAGCUUUCUGAUAACAACUGUCACAAACAGAGAUUGUGGUUGAUGUAAAUAGUUCAGUAAUGCACCGAAAAAUCCUGUAGCCUAUGCAUAUAGGCCUAUAUAAAAGAGAACCAUGUUUGGACUUUUUGUGGUGUAAUUGUAAUUUGCCAAGGAGCUACAAUUUGAGCAUCCCGACCCUGCUAAUGCUUGGUGGCCUAGGGAGAUUUAAAGUCAAACAGGAUGGAAUCAACUAGGCCUGCUGGGGUGACCGUAUUAUCUCUACACCAGCAGUCAUGAGUCAAUAACAGGUUGAAACUGAGUGGAAAGCAUAGACGUAGUGAAUAUUGUUUCAGAGCCAAACACAACGAAAUGGACAGCGCUUUCUAAGGUGAUGAUUCAUUCAAAGCAUUUAAGAGGUUGCAUGUAGAACACCCAUAUGCAUAUUAGAGCUUAUGCAUACGUAUAGGCCUUUAUAUGAGCCCAAGCCUGCAAAAAAGGCUGAAUUAAAAUAAUGAUUGUUCCAUUAUACAACAAUUAUACCACAGCAUUGUUGAAUACUCGUUUCUGAUUGGCUAGAAGGGAAUUCUAGAAUGGACAUUAAAACUAGAUAAUGGGACAGUUGGAAAAGUAACCAGGACACCUUGCAAUCAUGAUGCAAUAUGCACGUGCACAUGCAGACCGUACUUGCUACAAAGUUACAGAAAGCUAAACCAACAAUCCCACAAACCCAAAUUGGAUAAGAAAGGGUCCAACGAAUAAAACGUAGCUAGCUAGCAACUGAUUUGUUUUUUUCAGAGACAUAAUGUUUUGGAACAUCUAAUGACCUAACGUAGUGAGUGAUGAAAAUGAAUUUCUCCGGUCCCUACUGUAGUCAUGACGCAAGUGGCGCUAUGAUGUCAAAUCCUCCCACAUUUCUAGUUUGACCAGCUAUUUCCAGCAAUUGAUAUUUUGAAUUUGGUUGUCAUAUUGGCAACAAACUAUUUAGCUAGCUUCUAGCCUAGUGUUUGAUAUGCAAUGUGAUCUCAUAAUGAACAGUGACGGCAAGUGCCCUGACAAGAAGGCACUAUACCAGGCAAAAUUGGGCAUCAUUAGCUCAUUGUCAUGGAUGUAUCCAAAUGAAUAUCAAAAGAAAACAGUUUAAACAAAUGCAAAUACUUUGCUGUUAAUCUGUCUGCAGAGGCCGUGACUGUGUUAGCCGAAACUAGUUGGCUACCUAGCAAGCAAGCAAGGGAUAAGAACGUUGCCGGUGAGCAUGGCAACGGAACAUAUAGAAUGAGCAACUAAAUAUAUAACUAAUCGAACAAACGACUGGGUCGCGUCUCUAGCAACCAAAGAUGACAAGAUGAGAUGAAGUAUGAAUUUACUAUUAAAAAUAUAAAACAAUUAUAAUAAUUAUACAAGUAAAUGUGUGCUUUAGUAUUGUUUUCUUUGGUAACUGUGGUAUAAGUGGGAUAAACGCCUCCGUUCCGUACAUUAACUUAAUGUAAUCAUGAUAGCUUUCCGACCCCAGUACAGCUCAGUGUACACAAGCGUAUUGGUAGGGUCGGUAUCUUCUGGCAAGGAGAGAACAUAUAGGCCUAGGCGAUGCGGUUGGUUCAUUGAUUUUGCAGGGCGGCUUGCAGAGUAGGCUAGCUAGCCUACAAUUACAGUGAAUUUGUAUUUGACAUUACAUUUUCAUAAUUAAAUAGGCUGACACAUUACAUUUAGCUACAGAAUAUCUCACCACUGUGUGUUUCCAUCUCCUCUUUUCUCCAUUCCUUUCUGGAGCACGCAGAGAGAGGGGCUGUCAACAGUUUAAAUAUGUUUUGUUAUGAAAGCAUUUUACUAUUGAUGUUCCCGAACAGAUUUCAUUUGAUUUCACAAAUUUAGCCCCCUUCCCCUUUUCCACAUUUCUUUUCCAUUACAGCCUUAUUCUAAAAUGGAUUAAAUAUUUUUUCCCCUA